rnacentral:rRNA from 1 species
AGUGGCGAACGGGUGAGUAACACGUGGGCAACCUGCCCAAAANAGGGGGAGUAACACUUGGAAACAGGUGCUAAUACCGCAUAACCAUAGUUACCGCAUGGUAACUAUGUAAAAGGUGGCUAUGCUACCGCUUUUGGAUGGGCCCGCGGCGCAUUAGCUAGUUGGUGGGGUAAAGGCUUACCAAGGCAAUGAUGCGUAGCCGAACUGAGAGGUUGAUCGGCCACAUUGGGACUGAGACACGGCCCAAACUCCUACGGGAGGCAGCAG